AGGUUAUUUUGAGGACAAUUUCUCAGCUAUCCCUUGUAGCACUCCCAUGCCUCAUAAAGCGACUCACCCAGAUUUUUCUUAAAAUUUGCUAUUUCCUUCUUGAGUUU